GUCUGACUCUCUGUGACGCUAUGGACUGGAGCCUGCCAGGCUCCUCUCCAGGCAAGAACACUGGAGUGGGCUGCCACGCCCUCCGCCAGGGCGCCUUCCCGACGGGGACUGAGCCUGCAUCUCAUCUCCUGCGUUGGCAGGUGGGUUCUUUACCACUAUUGCCACCUGUGUCCGUAUAACAGAGGUUUAAUGAAUGGUUGUUGAAUGAAUAAAUGAAAGAAAGGAAGGACAGAGGGAGCAAGGAAGCAAAGAAGCGGGGGCAAGAGAGGGAAGAAAGGGCAGAGCCCAGGGCAUGUGGCUGACGCAGCUGGAUUAAGAGGAGAGAGUCCCUGGGACUUCCUGGUGGUCCAGUGGCUUAGACUCUGUGCUCCCAAGGCAGGGGGCCCAGGUUCCAUCCCUCAUCAGGGAGCGAGACCCCGUGUGCCGCAACUAAGAGUUCAAAUGCCGCAAUGAAAGGAUUCUGCAUAGCAUCACUAAAGACCUGACAGCCAAAUACAUAAAUAUUAAAAAAAAGAAUUAGUGGGGGUUCCCAGUGGCAAGGAGAAAGUUCCUCCUGAGCAGCGGCUUAAGUCUGCUCUUCCCUGAGGGGAAGCCAAGCCAAAGGCGGAGAAUGAAGCAGGAAGGUGGCAGCCGUGGAAGGCAACUGCUCAGACCACCGAGCUGUGGUGCGGGGCCCAGGCAGAGUGGGCAGAAGCGACCUGCAGAUGAGGUGCGCUGACCGGGGCUGCUCUCGGGAGAGCCGUGGCCCGACAUUCCUCUGACUUCCUUCCUGGCAAACUUGGCAGACGGGAGGUGGACUCUUGAAUCAGAGAGGGGUGGGGCAGGUGUGAGAGACACCCCGCCAGGCUGCUGUGUGGGGAGACCAGGUGGGGGAUGGGCUCCAUUCCCUCUUAGCCUGUGACCUCAGCGACCCCCGCCCGGACCCCCACCCCUCCGGGCAGGCCUGUAACAGGCGAGGACCCAUGGCACCUGAGGAGGCCUCGGGGACCCCGGGUGGACCUCAGAGAGCCUCCCGCUCCGGCCGCUCUCCUGGCCAGGACACGGCCUGUUCCCAGAACACCGCCUGCCCCAGAGGCCAUUCACCCUGGGCGGUCAGGCUCAAGGGCAGGGGCCCAGCCCAGGAGCCAGGGGUGAGGACUGAAAGGUGCCAGCUGGAAGGCCCCGCGUGCCCACUAGGGCUGCCGGAGGGGGACGCCAAGGGUGCUCAGGGACACGGGCCUGCAGAUUCCAAGGCACCUUCUCCCAACCUGCUGACUCAGACUCAGCGGGAAAGAAGGCCAUGUGAUAACCAGCAGACCAGGGAACUCAGAGAUCAAGUCUGGAAGUCAUCUGGUUCCCCGAGGCACCGUUGA
rnacentral:lncRNA from 1 species